AGCAUGGGAAAUUUGAAUACCAGGCAGGUGCACACAGAGAAAAGACCAUGAAGGGCACAGCGAGAAGGCAGCCACCUGCACACCCAGGAGAGAGGCCUCAGGGGAAAUCAAACCUGCUGACACCUGCAUCUUGGACUUCUAGCCUCCAGCACUGUGAGAAAAUAAAUUGUUCAAGCCCCCCAGUCUGUGGCAUUUUGUUAUGGAAGCCCUAGCAGACUAACAUGGCGCCCUUGGGAAAAAGCAGGCCCAGGACCCUAUUCAGCCUCUCCCUGAAAAGAUGCACCCCAAGAAUUGAGGGCAACAACCCUCUAGAAGCCAGAUCCAGCAGUGACUCUGACACACCUAAGCCUUCAAGUCAUCAUCUUGGUCACUACUAUUCAAGAGCCUCUAUGCACUGCCCAACCCUACCUCCACGACCUCGUGAUUCUCACCCCAAUGCUAGGCUUUCACCCCAACCAACUCUAUCCCCCUGAGACAUCUUCCCUACACACUAAUCCCCUCCCUUCCCAUUCCUGACCCCACUGCACCUACACUGCCUCCUGUAUGGCUUGCCCCUCCAUCCCCCAUCUGUUGGGUGUUUUAAGUGCAUGUUCUGUGCAUCUCACUUCCUUCACUGGACUGCAAAUUCUCAAAGAUUAGUCUAGCAUUCAAGACCUUUCACAAGCUGGCCCCAACUUAGCUCUCCACCUUGUUCUCCCAACUGGGCCAAGUCAACAUCAAUCUACUCGCCAGCCCUUGAACAAUGCUCUUCACUAAGCUCUCCAAAACUUUCCCAGUCUCUAAAGCCAUCUGAAAUGCCACCUCCUCCAGAAAGCUCUCCCUGACUACCUUGGCUAAAUACAUAAGAGAACAAUGGCUCUUAUCUCUGUGCAAUUAUUCCAGUGCCCAGUUCUAGUGCUCUAACUGGGGCAAUAACUACUUAGAAAGAGAGGAAAGGAGUCUAAGGAACAUGGGGGUGCAAAACUGUAAUGUAAUUCUGAUGCCAACCACCCGGAGUUAGCACAGACCCCUCAGGUUUAAGGGCAGAGCCCCCAACAAGACUGCCCUCACUGUAGAUGCCAACUUCAAGUUUGGAGGUCCCCAGGCCACCUGCACUGCUGACUAACUGGCUACAAAUUCAAGGGUUCCCACACCCUCCUCAGGCUCGAUAACUUGCUAGAAUGACACAGAACUUAGGAAAGCACUCCACUUACAAUUACAGUUUUAUUAUAAAGGAUACAAAUCAGGACCAGCCAAAUGAAGAGACACAUAAUGCAAGAUCUGGCAGGCU